GGUUAAAUGUAAUGGUUAGGGCACUGGGCUCAUAACUCAAAGAUUAUGGGUUCAAAUCCCAUCUGGAGUG
rnacentral:tRNA from 1 species